UGCUUGUCCAGGAGGGGCUGGCCUUGCUUGGAGACGUACAGAGAAGAUUAGCGUGGCCCUGCGCAAGGAUGACACACAAAUUCAUGAAGUAUUCCUUUAUUUU